CUAAAAGCGUGGUGGCUGGCCAUCCUGAUUUGGUCCUAAGAUUAUAAAUGAAAAAUUCUCUUGCCGAUUCACAGCAGCCUGAACCACAGGAUAGUCAGAGCCAUAACCAUCUACUACCAGGCGGCACUCCCCGGGGCGCUGGGAUCCUGCGUCCCGGCUGGAGCCCCAGGGCACCGGGAGGAGCCAAGAUCCUGGGCCUGGAGGAGAGGACUAGGAGGCGGGCGGCACAAAGAGCUUUUUAUUCAAAUUUGUUUAGAGUUUCGCGAAUUUGCAUGAAAAAUGUGUGAGAAAAGCCAGCUCCGGUGACCUCAUCCGCACCUGCCAUUAACGUUCAAUUAGCGGCUGAAUAGUGGCUGCCGACGCGACGUGCAGAGAAUCCUGCCUGCCCCGCGCAGCUCGGCGGCUGGCGGGGCGCGGGAUCGGGAGGAGGGGCGCGGCGAGACUCAGGGCUCCGCCUGCGGCUCGGGGCCCCAACACCGAGGGCCUCCGCACCCCUAAUCUCAAAGGACCCCAGAACCCCAGAGCCCUGGAGCACUAGGCAGUUUGGGGCGAGUCGGAGCCUUGGAGUGCAGGCUCUCCGGGUCUGCCGGACCGGUGGUGGCGGACGAGUCCUGUCCCGGCUCAGACAGGCUUCCUCACCACCUUCCGGACAAAGUGUCAAGUACAAGUUCAAGUUCAGGGGUUGGCCCCAGGAGGAAGGGGGUGGGGGGAGCCAUCCCCAGCUGCCUUUGUUCUCCGGGAUAAGCGCUCUCACGUCCCCGUCCCGGGCGGGGCUCGGCAGAUACCCCCGCCCCGCCCCGCCGCGCCCCGCAGGAGCCACCUCCUCCCGCCCGCACGGCGCCUGUGCCUGGGUCCCGGCGACCCUCCUCAGGGCCACCGAAAGGUCUUGGGGCUUGGGGCGGGGGCGGGGGGGGCGGUCCCUGCCCGUGGGAGCCUCCCCGGCCCCGCAGUCCCAGCAGCAAACUGCGCUUGGUCGGACGGGAUGCCCGCGCAGAGGGAAGUUGAGAGAAGGUAUGCCUUUGGAGACUGGAAACCUGGAGGUCAUUUCUGAGCAAGAAUUCCGGGAAUCCUAAAGGUCUUCAAUCUCUGCUCGCAGCACCUGGGUAGACAUGGUUCCAGGGAGGAGCCUGAGUGGGUGAUUCAGUUCCAGAGCCGCAGUAGUAGCACCACCCAAACUUGGAAAAAGAAUCAUGUUGAUCGCCAGAGAAGGAAUCUCAUCGGAAGUAGACUUCAUUCAGAGGGGCGCCAGUAGCAAAGAGGCUCCUGGAUUGCAUCCUGACUGCCCUGGAGGGAGGAUGUGACCAUUGGUGUAGGAGGCGACGAGACAACCUGGUCAGCAGAGAUGUAUCACAGCGGUACACUCUCCCAGCACUUUCCCACCCACAACCCGCGUCAGACCUGGCUUCAUCUUUAAUCCUCCAGCCUUGGGAAUGACAGACCUACCUCAGAGGUCUUGCCUGCCCUCGCGCCCUCCCCAACCCCCCACCGCGUCCCGGAUUCCUGUGGUGCAGUGCGGGGGGGGGGGGGCUUGUGUUCACUCACAGAGGCCGUCAGACACGGUGCGCGGUAGUUUUCUUCACUUUAGAAGGUAGCAAACUGUUUUCAAAGGUGGGAUAUUUUCAGAAGAAGGAUUCCAAGAAUCAUUCCCCUAGAUAUCGGGCUCUGUGGGACGCGCUGGGCGUAGGUCUGUUCAGGUCACAGAGCUUCGCAAGCCUAGCCCGCAGAGAGCUGUUCUUUUAGUGGUGCUGAAAGCGAGGCCAGCUCUGCCGAGUUGCCUACAAGCUGUCUAUAACUCAGCCACUACCCUCCUUCCUGCUUAGAGUCACAGGCUGAAUGGUUCACUAUUGUCUGGCAACAAAUCGCGGUAGCCACCUAAUAGAUCUGAUUGUUUCCAGUUACAAUGUCCCCCUUCCCCAAUCCUUUCUUCACUGAGCACCGAGUGAUCUUUCCUUGUUGGUUUGAGUGUUUAAAAAUUAUGCUUAUCUAUCUAUCUAUUUUUUUUUUCGAGACAGGGUUUCUAUGUGUAGCCUUGGCUGUCCUGGAACUCUGUCCACCAGGCUGGCCAUAAACUCAGAAAUUUGCCUGCCUCUGCCUCCCAAGUCUUGGGAUUAAAAGCAUGCCUGGAUGCUUAAUUAUUAUUAUUUUUUUAAAGUGUGGGGUAUAUUUUCUGCUUGCAUAUAUGGUGCCCAAGGAGGCCUGAAGAGGGCAUUGAAUCUUCUGGGACUGGAAUUGCAGAUGAUUCUGAGCCAUCCCUCAGGUGUGUGUGUGCUAGGACUCAAACCUGUUUCUCUGGGAGAUUAGCCAGUGCUCAAAGCCAUUGAGCCAUCUCUCCAGCUCCUCUCCUUUUGUUCAGACAUGCCCCAUGUAUCACAGGCUGAGGCUGACCCGGCAAUUCUGAGCCUCUGACUUCCACCAGCUAGGAUUGCAUGAGGCCAGUGUGUGCAUGCUCUUCUCGCUCCCUCUCGGGAUGCACGAGCCAGGCUCGUGCUAGCCUGCUAAGCUACACCAGCAGCACUAGAGCAGCUCCGACUCCCCUCACAGUCUCUGCUUCCCUUCCCUUCUUUUCUUUUCUCUUUUCCUUUUUGAGACAAAGUCUCGGUUUAUAGCCCAGGCUGGCCUGAAACUUUCUACAUAGUCUGAGAUAGCCUAAAAUCUGCAGUCCUCCUGCCUGUGUCUUGCAAGUGCUUGGUUUACAGCUAUGGGUCACCAUGCCCAGCUAGAGUGGCAAUGAUCAAGGGGCAAAAGUGAUCACCCGUGAAGUCCAUCUAGUCUUGAUGUCAUGCAAAAUAAAGCAAAGUUCUUGCCACAGUGAAGAGGUUCCUUUCUCUGACAAUCAUCUAGUGCCUGCCUCCUAUCACCUGUCAAGAUGGAGCCACUGCCAAGCCCUGGCUUAAUUCUAGUGUGUUGAAGAUUUGACAUUAAGAUUCAACAGGGAACCUGGAUUGUGGUAAAUGCCUUUAAUCCCAGUACUCGGGAGGUAGAAACAGGCAGAUCUCCGAGCUCAAGCCAAGCCUGGUCCACAGAGUGAAUUCUAGGACAGCCUGGGCUACACAGAGAAACCCUGUCUCUAAACAAAACAACAAACAAACAAACAAGGAUUUGCCAAGAGGUGGGAGGUGAGUCAUGGGAAGAACUGUGAAGCCAGGCGGUCUGUGGUGGUGCUCAUUAUCCAGACCUGCGUGUCAUCCUCCAAAAGUACAUCACGGCGAGAUGGCAGGGAGGCUCUGGUAGCAUCCAAUGAUGCUGAGCAGAGUGAUUCUGCUGCUCAGGACUUUACCCACUUUCUGACAUGCUUUGCCCCUACCCCACGCCCGUUUCGGGGGAGGAAGCACAUGGCAGAUGUGAAGUGAGUGGCCCAGGGUCACACAGCUAGACAGUCACAACUCCGACUCCAGAGGAACAGGGAGCCCAGAGACUUCAUCUCCGGCAGAGGCGUGAAGGUGCCGACCCUGGGACCAGACAGCCUGUGUGUAAUCCCAACUCUGCCAGUUAAGGACUCAAUCUCCCCGUGGCUGUGUUUCCUCGUCAGAAGAGAUGGUGGUCCCCCUGCUAGCCUCACUGGGAAGACUGAGGAGAUAGUCCUGCAGUCAUCAGUGCUGUUCUGAAUCUGAGCUCCUCCCUGACCGUGGCGAGCAAGUCCAGAAGGCAGGCUGAGAAUUUCUUGCCUCAUCAUCCUGGAUGUGCGGGAGCCGAAAGGGCAGAGGACAGAGGAGGGGCCGCGUGACUGCCUAGGCUCCUAAGCAAUUUACUGGAGGAGCUCAUUUGGCAACUCUGAUUCCAAGUUAAUUAAAGAUGGCCACUAGGGGUCAUUGCCAUGGUGACAAUUAGGCCAGAAAGAAGCCUCAUUAAGGUGCGGUUUUAACUAGGCCAGUCGUUUUUAACCUAAGGUCUGUGGGAAAGGGAGUCAGCUUGCCCCCCCCCCCCCCUCUCUCCUCCGUGUUCAGAUCCGUUUCCAGGCAGUUCUGGCUGAGGAUGGAGGCAGAGGAGGAGUCCUGAGCUGAGCCCCCCUGAGUCCCAGCAGGGCAACAGGUUUCUCUGUGGCACUCACCCUGUCUGUGAGGCAGAAGCCUUAGGGUGGGUGGAGGCCAUGAUGCCAGAGCAGGCAGAGAAGAGGGGGAUUUUAUUCAGAGUGGCCCGGGAGACCUUAUCACCCAAUCUGCUUCCCAAACUGAGUGAGGGGAGCCAAGCCGAGCUGUGGGUGAUAAUGGAGCACAUGAAACUUAUUUCUUCUGUGUUGAAUUGAGAAUGCCAGGAGCUUAAAGCCUGUCUCAGUUCACAGCACUGUAAUGUGUUUGAGCUAGGCAUGGCGGUACCCACCUCCUAUCUCAGGACUAAGACAAGAAGAUAGUGACAUCCUGGCCAGCCUCCGCCACAUAGUGAGAUUCUGUUUCAUGGAGGUAGAGUGAGUGUGUGUGUGUGUGUGUGGGGGGGGGGGGGAACGACACAAGAGUAGUGAGAUGGCUCAGCCUUUAACUUGCUUCUCUCUCUCUCUCUCUCUCUCUCUCUCUCUCUGCUUUUUUGUUUGUUUUGUUCGUUUUAGCUUUUUGUUUGUUUUUUGUUUUGCUUUUUGUUUUUGCUGUUGUUGAGACAAGGUUUCUCUGUGUUAGUCCUGGAACUCACUCUGUAGAUCAGGCUGGCCUCGAACUCAGAAAUAUGUCUGCCUCUGCCUCCCAAGUGCUGGAAUUAAAGGCAUGUGCCACCACUGCCUGACAACUUGCUUCUCUUGAAGUGGGCCUGCCUGGGCUUGGUACUGGAACCCACAUGGUGGCUUAUGAAGUCUGUAACUCCAGUUCCAGGGAACCUGGUGCCCUCUUCUGGUCUUUAUGGGCACCAGACAUGCUUUUCAUGCAAUUAUCUACAUGCAAGUGAAAACUCUCAUACCCAUAAGAUAUAAAUAGAUUAAUCUCUCUUAAAGAAAUCAAGAGGCUGGGCUGAAGGGAUGCUGAGAGCACUGGCUGCUCUUCCAGAGGACCAGGGUCCAGUUCUGAUGCCUUCCUCAGGCCUCCCCAGAAACUGCAAGGGUGUGGUGUACAGACUUACACAGGACAAACAACCAUGCAUGUAACAAUAAGUAAAUAAAUACUUUUUUAAAAAAUCAAGGGGCUGUGGAAAUGCCUCAGUCAAUAAAGUAGUUUCCAUAGAGGCAUGAAGAACGGAGUUACAAUCUACAACCUCUACAUAAAAAACCAGGAGGACUGGUGGGCAUCUGUAAUCCCAGGGCUGGGUAGACAGAGCCAGGUACAGUUCUGGAGCUCACCGACUAAUACAGCCAAGUGAAUCCAUAUCAAUGAGAAACCCUGUCUCCAGAAAUAAAGUAGAAGAUUCGGAGAGAUGACCCACCAGCUAAAAGCGUUUGCUAUACCUGGGGACUGGGGUUUGGUUUACCAGCCCCACACAGUGGCUCACGACCAUCCAUAACUCCAAUUCCAGGGGAUCCAGUGACCUCGUCUGACCACCAAGGACAGAAAGCAUGCGUGUGGUGCACAUACACACAUGCUGUCAAAUCACAGACACAUGGAAAAGAAAAAACAAAGAAAUCUUUAAAAAUAAACAAGACGGAGAGUAACUAAGGAAGACCCUUGACUGCAUGCACGUGUCCAGUGUGCACCUGAAUAUGUCUGAGUUCACUCAACACACACAUAUGCAUAUGCUACACACAAAGAAGUAAAGAAUAUGUUCUCUGCUCAAUAGUGAUAUAAAUGCACUGAUGAGAACAGGAAGUCCCAGGUAAGCACAAAGAGAGACCACCCCCUGACAUACACCACCCUGGACACGAUGUCUGCUGACACUGUCCAUAUAGUAAGCAGAGCGCAGCCUACAGGGAGCUGGGUCCAAAGACUGGAGAAGGGGGACCUGGGUUUUGGUGUUUGUGACCUUUUCAACUGUUUGUACUUUAUCAGGAAAAUGUCAAAUAAACUGCAGUGGAAACACCAGCUAACACCACAUCCCUCUGAGUAUGGAGAUGCACCACACGCUUUUCUUGACAAAAAUGGGGGUCGAAUUGUACCUAUGAUUUUGAAACCUGAAUUUAUCACGUCAAGAUAACAAGAUGUCUUUAAUGCUUUCCCAGGAUGUUGCAACUUCUUAUCUUUUUUUUUUUUAAAGCACAUUGCAAACUAUUCAAACUGCAAAGGCUAAAAAACAGACAAGCAAAGCUUCUUACCUGAGCUUCCCUGCGCCCCCCCUCCUCCCCCGGAGCAGCCUUGAAGAUCCAUUUCUUUUUCCUUCCUUCCUUCCUCCCUCUUCCCUCCCUUCCUCCUUUCCUCCCCUCCCUCCCUUCCUCUGCUUUUUCCUCCCUUGCUCCCUCCCUCCUUUCCUUCCUUCCUUCCUUCCUUCCUUCCUUCCUUCCUUCCUUCCUUCCUUCCUUCCUUCCUUCCUUCCUUCUAGCCCAAGCUGGCUUUGAACUUAGCAAAUAGCUGAAGAUAACCAUGAACUUCUAAUCUGCCUACCUCCACCUUCAGAGUACUGAUACUACACACACGGAAUUAAUUGAGUUAAUUAUCACCAGAAAACUUUUCACCAAAUUACACUGUGCGUAAAUAUGUCCAAAAUAAGCCACCCAAGAUCAAGUUCUUGAAGUUUGAAGCAGCACUGGUUACUGUGUUGAACCUGAACCGUUCUUGCCUGUCUUGCACCAUUGUGUGGCUGGCUGUGGUGUUCACAGAGAAGCCCAUAAAUGCGUUGAUGUGGAUCAAACCCAGGGCUUUUAUGCAAGCUGGGCAAGCACACUACCAAGCGAGACGCAUCCCUAGGUCUUUCAUAUCCAUUUCUCUUGCAUUUAUCUGUAAGCGUUCUAUGUGGGUACAGGCACAGGUAUUUUCUUGUAUAUCUAUUUGUGCAACACAGUUCACCUGUUCUGUCUUUGACUUUUUUCCAUGGCACGUCUUGGGGCUGGCUUCAUAUCAGUGUGUAUAGAGCUGAGAGCUGUCUUGAUCUUUUUCUAAUACCUGGCAGUCUGCAGCAGCUAGGCAUCAUGUAAGAAGAGGUGUCUCUGGCCACGUAGUCUUUGUGUCUAUUAUUAAACAGGGUAGUCAACACACAGAAGUACUCUAGAAAUGGUCACAGCAGAUAAAAAUGUAGGGAAAUGAUGGGAGGGGCUAAAAGAGUGAUCAGGACCUCAUGGAUGGAUCUGAGGCCUCGAUGGAAGCUUUGGCUUCCUCUCCUCUGGGAUAUGAUCCCCCUAGGAACCUCACAUAAGAGCUGGCUUCCCCAUAGGGGUCUUUAUCUCACACGUUAGGAUGACCACUGGCAGGACAGCCUUGGAUACCAUAUCAUGGGUCAAAGCUCACUGAGGUCACUGAAGACUCGCAUCUUCCAUCUCUUUUUUUGCACACUGAUUUUACCUUCAGGAAUAUUUUCGUGAUCAUAGGAUGGCAGCCAGUGGCCACCCAUAUCACGGAGGGUGUAUACUUCCCUACAGAGAGUGAAAUGUUCCACCAAACUCACAAAGCCAUAACCGAAGGAAAAGAGACAUCGGCGUGCAUCAACCACUCUUAAUCCUUCAGUGCCCCCUUUCCAUAACAACUCUUCCUAUCCUGAUGAAAGCUGUAGAAAACACAUCUCACACAUUGACUUAAAAUAAAUCAAAGGGCUGUAGAGAUGGCUCAGCAGUGAAGAACACUUGCUGCUCUUGGAGAGGACCAGAGUUCAAUCUCUAGCACCUACACAGUGCUUUACAAUUAUCUGUAACUCUGACUCCAGGGGAUCCAAUGCCCUCUUCUGGCUUUGUGAGUGCUGGGCACACAAAUGGUGCAAAGACAUACAUGCAGAUAAAAGCACUUAUAAACAUAAAAUCAAAGUAAACGAAAUCUUCAAAAAAUAUCAAUAUAAGUUUCUAAGAAUAAACAAACCCCAUACAAAGUCUGGUUUGGUGGAAUGAAUCCAUAGUCCAAGCAACUUUGGAGGGUGGGGAAUGAAGACAUGAAUCCAGGGGGUUGUGACCAGAUUGGAUCAAAUAGCCAGAUGAGCAGCAUCUGUGAUGGUUAAUCUUCAUUGUCAAUUUAGCUGCACUUAGAGUCCCCUAGGAGGGGCUGGAGAGAUGGCUUAGCAGUUAAGAACACUGGCUGUUCUUCCAGAGGACCCGGGUUCAAUUCCCAUCAGCACAUGGCAACUCACUUGCUUUGUAGACCAGGCUGGCCUCAAACCCACAGAGAUCCACCUGUCUCUGCCUCUGCCUCCUGAGUACUAGGGUUAAAGACACAUACCAUCAUGCCCGAUCAAGUGACCUUAGUUUUAAUAUUUUGUUCUUAUUACUUUAAAAUCAUAUAUAUGUACGUACAUCUGUCUGUGGGUAUGCACAUUGUAAGUGCCAUUGUCCUGAGAGGUCAGAGGCAUUGGAUCCCCCUGGAUAUGAACCCACAGGUGAUUGUGGGCCCCAUGUGUGAUGGCUUCUAUAUGUUUGGGCCAAAGAAUGGCACUAUUAGGAGGCGUGGCCUUGUUGAAGUGGGCGUGGCCUUGUUGGAGUAGGUGUGUCACUGAGGGCGUGGGCUUUAAUACCUUUAUCCUAGCUGCCUGGAAGCCAGUCUUCUCCUAACAGCCUUCAGAUGAAGAUGUAGAACUCUCAGGUCCUCCAGUUCCAUGCCUGCCUGAACGCUGCCAUGCUCUCACCUUGAUGAUAAUGGACUGCACCUCUGAACCUGUAAGCCAGCCCCAAUUAAAUGACCUUAUAAGAGUUACCGUGGUCAUGGUGUCUGUCACAGCAGUAAAAUCCUAAGACAUGAAGAUACGGGGCUAGGAACUGAACCUGAGCCCUAUGAAAGAGCGGUGAGCACUUAAUUCACUUAAUUGCUGUCAUCUCUCUAGCCGCUGUGAGUUUAAUUUUAAAUACUCCAUAAUUAUCAACUUAACAAUUUUAGUUUUCUUCACUUUUCAGAAAGGUGAUUUACCUGUUCAAAAUGGCUCACAGUUAAAAUGAAAGUCCGUCAUCCGUCCGUCGCCCCCCCCCCCCCCCCGCCCUCUGCUCUGUUCCCAUCUUGGAUCAACCCUGAAGGAAGUUAAAACUUAGUAUUUUUUGUGUAUUUUUCUUACAUACAUUCUACAAAAUUCACCAGUAUGUGUAUACAGAUUCUGUAUUGGAAGGGUCCUCACCACUGUGCUUUUGAAAAUGUUUCAUUUAUGUUUAAAAAAUUACUAGGUGUGCCAAUGUUUUGCCUACAUCUAUGAUAUCGCACCGUGGUUUUGUUGUUUGUUUUGGAGAGAGCAGCGCCUAUAUCAGAAGCUGGCCUCAAACUCAAGUCUAGCCUUUGACAUCUGAGCUUUCUUCUAAGGAUUUGGAUUGCAGGCUGUUCCACAUACUCUGCCUGUAUGUAUAUAUAUCACCAAUAAAUA
rnacentral:lncRNA from 1 species